GAUGAACGCUGGCGGUAUGCUUAACACAUGCAAGUCGAACGGGGUGCAUAGUCACCUAGUGGCGGACGGGUGAGUAACGCGGGAGAAUCUGGCCUCAGGUCCGGGACAACCACGGGAAACGGUGGCUAAUACCGGAUGUGCCAUAUUGGUGAAAGAUUAAUUGCCUGAGGAUGAGCUCGCGUCUGAUUAGCUAGUUGGUGGGGUAAAGGCUUACCAAGGCGACGAUCAGUAACUGGUCUGAGAGGAUGACCAGUCACACUGGGACUGAGACACGGCCCAGACUCCUACGGGAGGCAGCAGUGGGGCAUUUUCCGCAAUGGGCGAAAGCCUGACGGAGCAAUACCGCGUGAGGGAGGAAGGCUCUUGGGUUGUAAACCUCUUUUCUCAGGGAAGAAGAAUGACGGUACCUGAGGAAUCAGCAUCGGCUAACUCCGUG
rnacentral:rRNA from 1 species